AAAAUAGUAAAACGGAAAUAUCAAAACCCCAGGAGGCCAAAACCCCUUUCUGUUGAUUCUUCACGAUGUCCGCCGCCAGGUGUUUGCUGCGCUCCGCCACGUCCCGCGCUGCCGGUGCGGCCAAUCUCGCAGCCGGAGCUAGAACGAGACCGGCACGAUCUCCGUUUCGUCUCCCAAAGCAAACCUCAAUCUCGAAUCGCGUUUUCAGGUUACCGGUAGAAGCGAGUUUCUGCUUGGAAUCGAUGCUUCCUUAUCACAGUGCUACUGCUUCCGCAUUGCUGAAUUCGAUGCUCUCUGUGUCUCGCCACUCCUAUGGUUGGACCCCUGAAGAUUGCAAUGAUGAUGUAUGAUGAAUGACAGAGGGUUCGAGCACAAGUUUUAUCUAGAUGCGCUUGAAAAAAGGGUCGUGAUCAUUUGCACUUUGGCUUUUAGGCUUGAGGACUAGCCAUAUGGAUGAUGAUUGCUGUCUGUGGGUGCGGUGCAUCUGCUCCUACUUUCCGUGGAUUUCAGUUUACUUAGUUAGGCCUUGUUAGAGAUUUUUUGUCCUUGGUCGAAUAUGAAACCUCCAAGACUUGACUUGUACAAGCACGGAGCUGGUACCAUGCUUAGGUAUGAUUACUCUUUAGAACAUUAUUGCAAACAUUUCUUUACCUGCGAUUUACGAUAAUUCACCCUGUAAUUGGAAAUGGGAUUUAUUCCCAGUGCUUGCAAACGUUACUAUCACCCUUGUUUUAAAAUGUUACACGAACAAGCAUGUGCGUUAAGAAUUCAUUAACUGGAACUUUUGUCAGUGUGAUUUUUUA